CAGGCCUAACCAUGCAAGUCGGACGCUCUCUUCGGAGAGAGUGGCAGACGGGUGAGUAAGCGUGGGAAUCUACCCAUCCCUACGGAACAACUCCGGGAAACUGGAGCUAUACCGUAUACGCCCUUCGGGGGAAAGAUUUAUCGGGGAUGGAUGAGCCGCGUUGGAUUAGCUAGUUGGUGGGGUAAUGGCCUACCAGGGCGACGAUCAUAGCUGGUCUGAGAGGAUGAUCAGCCACACUGGGACUGAGACACGGCCAGACUCCUGCGGGAGGCAGCAGUGGGGAAUAUUGGACAAUGGGCGCAAGCUGAUCCAGCCAUGCCGCGUGAGUGAUGAAGGCCCUAGGGUUGUAAAGCCUUUCAACGGUGAAGAUAAUGACGGUAGCCGUAGAAGAAGCCCCGGCUACUUCGUGCCAGCAGCCGCGGUAAU
rnacentral:rRNA from 1 species